ACCAUUGUGGUAUAAUGGUCAGCACACUCGGCGCGUAUUCGAGAGGUCUGAGGUUCGAGUCCCAGCGAAGGCA
rnacentral:tRNA from 1 species